rnacentral:rRNA from 1 species
AACGCUGGCGGCAGGCUUAACACAUGCAAGUCGAGCGGGCGUAGCAAUACGUCAGCGGCAGACGGGUGAGUAACGCGUGGGAACGUACCUUUUGGUUCGGAACAACACAGGGAAACUUGUGCUAAUACCGGAUAAGCCCUUACGGGGAAAGAUUUAUCGCCGAAAGAUCGGCCCGCGUCUGAUUAGCUAGUUGGUGAGGUAAUGGCUCACCAAGGCGACGAUCAGUAGCUGGUCUGAGAGGAUGAUCAGCCACAUUGGGACUGAGACACGGCCCAAACUCCUACGGGAGGCAGCAGUGGGGAAUAUUGGACAAUGGGGGCAACCCUGAUCCAGCCAUGCCGCGUGAGUGAUGAAGGCCCUAGGGUUGUAAAGCUCUUUUGUGCGGGAAGAUAAUGACGGUACCGCAAGAAUAAGCCCCGGCUAACUUCGUGCCAGCAGCCGCGGUAAUACGAAGGGGGCUAGCGUUGCUCGGAAUCACUGGGCGUAAAGGGUGCGUAGGCGGGUC